AUUGAACGCUGGCGGCAGGCCUAACCCAUGCAAGUCGAACGAGUGGCGGACGGGUGAGUAAUGUCUGGGAAACUGCCUGAUGGAGGGGGAUAACUACUGGAAACGGUAGCUAAUACCGCAUACCCUCGGAUGUGCCCAUAUGGGAUUCGCUAGUAGGUGGGGUAAAGGCUCACCUAGGCGACGAUCUCUAGCUGGUCUGAGAGGAUGACCAGCCACACUGGAACUGAGAAACGGUCCAGACUCCUACGGGAGGCAGCAGUGGGGAACAUUGCACAAUGGGCGCAAGCCUGAUGCAGCCAUGCCGCGUGUAUGAAGAAGGCCUUCGGGUUGUAAAGUACUUUCAGCGGGGAGGCGUUACCCGCAGAAGAAGCACCGGCUAACUCCGUGCCAGCAGCCGCGGUAAUUC
rnacentral:rRNA from 1 species